GUUGGUACUAGCAGGUUAAUAUAAAACUGUUGGCUAGUUGGUACUAGCAGGUUAAUAUAAAACUGUUAGCUAGUUGGUACUGGCAGGUUAAUAUAAAGAGUUGGGCAAAUACUGCUAGCACUAGCGAAAAGUAUUUCACACUGGGUUGCUCACACCAAUGUGAAUUGAUAGAAGCUUGUUUAACGUCAUUAUAGUUAUCGAUUCCCAUUGCAUUAAACUAACGCAGUCACAUGCGUGUGAUAUAGCUAACUUUAGCUACAAAACAAACAAUAGUGCAAAUCGGCUUCCAAUGUUUUUUAUGCACACGCUAUGUGCCCAUUGUUACAUUGCAUGAUUUAAACGGUUACCUUUUCUGCAGAAGCAUCGAUUGCAGACUGGUUGUAAAACGAAGCAACGGUUUUGGACCUCUCACGAGCCAACUCGAAAUAUCCCUGCAUCGAGGACGUGGAACGGAAUCUUUCGUUCACACCGUUGAGGUUGAUUGUUUUCGACAUGGGAGACCUCAAAAUCCUAGUCACUCCGGGACUGUUAAUAUUACUGCACCCCAGCAUCUCCAGCGCUCUACCUGUCACACACGGUCGCAUUUUCGAUAUUGUCUGUCUGUACAGUCAAGUACCGUAUUUGUUCCAGUGCUUUCAACGGCCUGUUUAUCUAGCCAUUCUAGCGAUUGUAGCUAAGAUUCCACCAUACCGAAACCCUUAAUUUGGGCUACUGACUGUAUCAUGCGAACUACAGCACGAGCUCCGGUUAUAUAAGAAGAAAGUCCACUGUGAAACAGUAUUUGUCAAAAGACGCAACGAUUUAACCAAUCGCUGUUAAGAGGGGAGGAGACAUGGGGUCUCGCCACACCCCUCUUCGUACUGUACCAAACUACUGUACACGAAGAACAAUGGCCAACGCGAGGACACAAUGUUCUGUUGGAAUUUAUUCCUUUGCAUUCUAUUGAAAACGGUCGCAGGGGGGCUGGAGCCUAUCCCAGCAUACAUUGGGCGAAAGGCAGGAAUACACCCUGGACAGGUCGCCAGUCCAUCACAGGGCAUACACACCAUUCACUCACACACUCAUACCCAGGACCUCCUUGCUGUGAGGCGGCAGUGCUCAGGACCUCCUUGCUGUGAGGCGGCAGUGCUCAGGACCUCCUUGCUGUGAGGCGGCAGUGCUGCCCACUGCACCAUCCGUGCUGCCUCGCUCCCAGAACUGUUAAGUUGAAAUAGUACUGUGUAGAUCAUGGGUUUUCCACAUAGUGUUUAGUGUCUUUAGAUAGCUAAUGUUGUGGGAAAUACUUUGGUGUCAUUGGUGGUGUAGUACACUGGUUGCUGAAUAAAGAUCUUGAAACAGCAUUUAGAAAUAAACCACAGGUAAUGCAAGUUACCUGUGACUCAGCAUCCAGCUGUGCUAAAGGUUAACCAGGUUUGUUAAGACAUACAAUGAUAACAUCAGCAAUUGUUACCGCCCUCUUGUGACUCUUUAUUUGAUGAUUUGUUGUUUUCCUGUAAACCCUGGGUAUAUAGAGGUAAACGUGGAAUGGUUCGAGGAGACUCGCUAAUACUACCUCCUGCGUGCCAUUUAUGUAUAGCCAUUCAUGUUACAUCUUGUAAUUCUUGUAACACAUUGUAAUUCUAUUUCUGCAAUGGACAUUGUUUAAUAAAUUGUAUUAAUUUGAA